AAAGGUCGGGAUAGGGCUGCCCGUUCUACCCGUGGGCCACGGGACGGCUGCUCGUUCUACCCGUGGGCAGCAGGGGAUGGGCCUAUAAAUGACAGUGCCGCCCGAUGAAAUGCAGUUUGCUUGUUUGGCUCCUUGGGUUCCUUGUUAGUCUAUUCUUUUCUCUUUUCGUCGUUAUCCUAUUUUUUUUAAAUAUUAUUAACAAAUAAAUCGUUUGGAAAAUUUGCCCUGCCAGACUAUUAAGUCUCGGACGAUUGCCGGUAAAUAAUUUUUGACAUUUAUCAUUAGAUCUAUGAAUAAUUAGAGAUAGUUUAUUUCUUUUUUAUUAUUUCUGGUUUCUUCUUAAGUAAAUAUUCAUAGUAUUUAGAAUCUUUUAUAAUUUUCUUAUUAGCCUAAUCGAUC
rnacentral:lncRNA from 1 species